rnacentral:rRNA from 1 species
UACGAAGGGGGCUAGCGUUGCUCGGAAUCACUGGGCGUAAAGCGCACGUAGGCGGACUCUUAAGUCAGGGGUGAAAUCCUGGAGCUCAACUCCAGAACUGCCUUUGAUACUGGGAGCCUUGAGUUCGAGAGAGGUGAGUGGAACUGCGAGUGUAGAGGUGAAAUUCGUAGAUAUUCGCAAGAACACCAGUGGCGAAGGCGGCUCACUGGCUCGAUACUGACGCUGAGGUGCGAAAGCGUGGGGAGCAAACAGG